rnacentral:lncRNA from 1 species
UUUGCGAUUGUCUGCUGGGCUUGUUGUUUUCUUCCAGUAGGAUUUUAUGCAUGCAAAUAGUGGGUGAAAUCCAUUUUAUGUUAGCUAUUGUCCAUCUAUUGCCUCUACUUUGCCCAAAAAGAUGUAUUUUAGGUGAUCGGGCAGCAACUUCAGCUCUAGUUUAGGGGCUUGCAAAAUAGAUGAUUGAAGUUUUGUGUGAGGAACAGGAAGAUCAAGGUGUGGUACCAUACCUUUUAUUCACUUAAAUGACUCUAACUCAAACACAACUUUUUGCAGAUAUUAGUUAGUAACAUGGUCUUCC